GACUAUGGCCAUGCCACCCUGAAUAAGCCCAAAGUCUGAUCAUGUCUGAUCUUAGAAGCUAAGCAGGGCCAGGACUGGUUAGUACUUGGAUGGGAGACCACCUAGGAAGGCCAGGUGCUGUAGGCA
ensembl:rRNA 5S_rRNA 5S ribosomal RNA